rnacentral:rRNA from 1 species
GACGAACGCUGGCGGCGUGCUUAACACAUGCAAGUCGAACGGAAAGGCCCUGCUUUUGUGGGGUGCUCGAGUGGCGAACGGGUGAGUAACACGUGAGUAACCUGCCCUUGACUUUGGGAUAACUUCAGGAAACUGGGGCUAAUACCGGAUAGGAGCUCCUGCUGCAUGGUGGGGGUUGGAAAGUUUCGGCGGUUGGGGAUGGACUCGCGGCUUAUCAGCUUGUUGGUGGGGUAGUGGCUUACCAAGGCUUUGACGGGUAGCCGGCCUGAGAGGGUGACCGGCCACAUUGGGACUGAGAUACGGCCCAGACUCCUACGGGAGGCAGCAGUGGGGAAUAUUGCAAAAUGGGCGGAAGCCUGAUGCAGCAACGCCGCGUGCGGGAUGACGGCCUUCGGGUUGUAAACCGCUUUCGCCUGUGACGAAGCGUGAGUGACGGUAAUGGGAAAAGAAGCACCGGCUAACUACGUG